rnacentral:lncRNA from 1 species
GGCCUUUGUGCUUCUUGUAUCUUGAAAUUUGUUUCCUUUAGAUUUGGAAAGUUUUCAGACAUAAUUUCUUCAAAUAUAUUUUCAAUCCCCUUUUCUUUUUCUUAUUCUUCUGGAAUUCCUAUUAUUUGUAUUUUGGCUCACCUUGUAUUAUCCCAUGGGGCUCUUAUAUUGCUUUCAUGUUUUUUCAUUUGCUUUUCUGUCUACUGUCCUGAUUGGGUGAUUUCCAUUAUUCUAUCUUCUACAUCACCAUUUCGUCCCUUUGCAUGAUUCAAUCUGCUCUUUAUUGCCCUUAGCUCAGUUUGCAUCUCUGCAAAUGUGUUUUCUAGCUUUUCUUGGCUCCUCCUUAUAUUUUCUAAUUCCAUUCUAGGGGAUUUGGCAUUACUGUUCUUGUCUUCUCCUGGUUCCUUGAUAUUCAGCCUAAUUCUUUCAGUAUUUUCACUAUCUCCCUUUUGAACUCAAUGUCUGUCAGACUGCAUAGAUCUGUUUCAUUUUUCAGUAAUUUUAGUGAAUUCUCCUGUUCCUUUAACUGGAAAUGGUUUAUGAUCUUCUUCAUCUUGCUUAUGUUUUUCUUUUUCUGUGAGUUUGCAGAAGCCCAACUGUAGUCUUGUAAGGCCACUUAUAGGCAAGAGCACCCCUUUGUAUUUUUUUGGUGGGGUUACUAUUUGUUUUUGGUGUGGAAUUUGAAUAUUUGGUGUUUCUUUCUUCAGUGUGAGCAGGUUGUCAUCUCCCAGGUGCUCAGUGUGUUUUCAGGGAGAAGAAGGCAAUGGGUAGGGCCAGCAGUUGGUGCCUGGUUGCUGGGCUCUCAACAGCAACAAAGACCUGAAGGAAGGUGGCACUGGCUACUCCUAGUUGCAGGGCUCCAGGAAGUGGUUAUGAGCUCUAGGCAGAUCUACAAAUUGUCCAGAGCAUUUGGCAGUAGCAGCAGCAGUGUUCAUGAUUUUCCAGGGGAGAGAGAACCACAAUGGCUAGUGUUUGUUUGCAAUGCCCUCCUCUGAAGUGAUUGGAACCGCAAGUGGUGCCUGUUCAGGGGCCCCUAGUGCUAACAGGCCAUGACUGUCUCUAGAGUCAGUGAUAACUGUGGUGGUUUGCCCCCACUAUGUAUAGACCAUGCAUGAAGCGAUCUGCCUCACUUAGCCCACAUAGGAGGUGCUGCACAGGCUGUUCCUAGUUGUAGGAUCCUGGGAAGUGACGGAGAUAAGGCAUAUGAUUACUUCCCAGAGCAUUCAGCUGUGGCAGCAGCAUGGCUGGUGUGCUCCCAGGGGUGUGAGAGCACUAACAUGUGGUUUUCAAUCACAAUGCCCUCCUCUGUGGUGCCCUUGAGGCGAUUGGGGCUACAAGCAGUGCAUGUUUAUGGUGACAGGCCACUCCCACCUCUAGAGCCAGAGAUAACAGUGGUGGUUUGGCCCCACCUCCUGUAGGCAAUGCAAGAAGCACCUCAUCCUGCUUAGCCCCCACAGGGUGUGCUGCACAAGUUGCCCCUAGUUGCAUAUUCCUGAGAUGGGACAGUGAUCAAGCAUCUGGGCACUGCCCAGAACAUUUGGCAGUGGCAUCAACAGGGGGGUGUUCCCCCACGUGAGCAAUGGCAACAUCAGUUGGUGUUCCAUCAUAAUGUCCUUCUCUGUGAUGCCCUCUGAGGUGGCUGAGGCUACGAGUGAUUUUUGUUGAGGUAUCCCCAGUGAUGGGCCACACCUACCUCUGGAGUCACAGAUAACUGUGGUGGUUUGUUCCCUUCACCUGAAGGCCAUGCAAGAAGCACCCUGUCCCACUUAGACUUCACAGGGGGUGCUGCAGUUGCUGCUCCUAAUUGUAUGGUCUUGGGAAGAGAUAGUGACAAAGUGUCUGGGCACUGCCCAGAGCGUUUGGCAGUGGCACCUGCAGGGUGAGUGUGUUCCCAGGGUUGUGAGAGCAAGAGCAUAUGGUGCUUUGUAGGCACCAUGUCACACUUGGCUCCCUGAUGCCCUUAGCCUACACUAGAGGUGCCUGGCCACUGGUAGCCUGCAGAAGAAGGGCCCAAUCUCCCAUAUGUGAGCAAGGACUUUUCUCCACAUGUGGCAUGCACUGGAGCCACCUGGUCUGCCUCAGGUUAGGAAGUGGCUUCCAGCCACAGGAGGCCUGCGCCAGAGAUCCCCAGUCUACUCUGGGCUAGCAGCAGCUUCCGGCCUCUGGAAGUCCAUGCCAGAGAUGUGCAGUCCGUCGCAGACUAGGAAGCAGCUUCUGGUCAUGGGCGGGCUGCACUGGAGAUGCCCAGUCUCCCACAGGCAAGCAAGCAGCUUCUGUCCCUGGGUGGCCUGCACCAGCACUGCCUCACCCUCUGUAAGCCCAUGGGCAUAUGUGCACACUCGGUCACAAAUUAUUUCCUAGUGCGGUCUGCCCCUCCUCUUCUCGUCCUUCCCAACAAUGGCACCUUGCCUCUCCUGCAGGUCUGGACCUUCUCCUGGGUUCCCUCUGCCAUAGCUUUCCACUCCCCAGCCCAUAGUGUACCGCUCCCCCACCUGUCCUGCUCUGCUCCUUAGCCCCUUAGGCUUUCUCCACACUGCCAACACUAGCCCUCUUCUGGGGACUAACCUCUGGAGCCUAAGUCUCAGCACCCAGCCCACAAGGGUGUCUCAGGCCAUGGUGUCUGUAUCAGUGGUUCAGAUGAUCUGUGCAGCCCUCACUCUGCUUUUCCUUUCUCAGACCUACUGCUGCACUUUUCUCGGUGACUUUGAGGUCCUUCCAGCUUGGCUAAUCUUUCUGUCCAUUAGGUGGCUUCCCAGGGUGUGGGUUCAUUUUCUUCUUCAUAGCUCCCUCUCUGGAAUGCUAGUGCAGUCCUGAUUCAUUUUCUAUCUCUCUCUUUCUCUUUUUUUCUUUUGUUCUACCCAGUUAUGUCAAGAGUUUCUUGCGCUUUUUUGAGGUUUGAGUUCUUCUGCCAGCAUACAGUUGAUGUUCUGUGUUGAUGUUCUCAUUUUGCAUGUAGAUGUGUUUUUUGAUAUGUUUGUGGGAGAUGUUGAGCGUGACUUCUUAUUCCUCUGCCAUCUUGCUCCAACCCCCAAUCUCUUCAUUUUCAAUUUUAUUAUUUUGUUUUAUUGUUUUUGCUUUGUUUUAUUGUAAACCCCUCUUUCUCUUUCUUUCUUUUUCUUUUUCUUUUUUUUUUAAAGACUGCAUUUGCAGCAUAUGGAAGUUCCCAGGCUAGAGGUUGAAUUGAAUUGGAGGUGUAGCUCAUGGCCUAUGCCACAGUCAGGGCAACACCAGUUCCUUAACGCACUGACUGAGUGAGGCCAGGGAUCAAAUCUGCAUCCUUAUGUAUACUGGUUGAGUUAGUAACCUAUUAAGACACAGCAGGAACUCCGUUUUUUCUUGAUGAGUCUAACUAAAGCUUUAUGAAUAUUAUUUUCCUUUUCAAAGAAAGAGCUCCUAGCUUCAUUGAUUAUUUUCUAUGUAUUUUUAGGGUCUCUAUCAUUUAUUUCUGUUUCGAUGCUUAAUAUUCUUCCAUUAAUUUUUAGUUUUUGUUCUUCUUUAUCUAAUCCCUUUAGUUGUAAGGUAAUGCUGCUUAUUUAAAUUUUAGGUUUCUAUCACUAUAAACUUAUCCCUUUGAAAUGCUUUGGUUUUCCACCAGAGAUUUUGGGUUAUUGUGAUAUAUAUAUAUAUAUAUGAGAUAUAUAUAUUUAAAGAAUAAUGUGGUUGCUUCUUUUGGAUAGAGGCUCUGUGUAGUAGCAGAUCUUGCAACCCACAAGACAGAACCAUUGGACUAAAAAUAAUUUUAAAAAAGUAUAAAUUCCUAUGCUGCUGGGUAUAGAAAUGACUGUAGUUCUGCGUUGUCUUCCUCAGGCAUACUCUUAUCCACACUAGUAGAUAGAUAUUGACAUGAGAAGAUAAUAUUUUAGAAUUGGGGUCAAGAAAAAUGUGGCAAUUUUAUUUAUUUUUCCUUCUAUGUCUGUGUUCCAUUAAGCUUAAUCAUUAAGUGAUGCCAUAUAUUUGCUAACAGCCUAGUCCUGGGUGUAAUUCCAGACUCAAAUCACAUGACGUGAAAGAUAAUAAGCCCCAUUUAUUUACAGUAGCAUUUGUCUUUCACUUAGGUCUCAGUUACUAGGUUUGUCCAUUCAUCUUAUUCAUUGGGCUUAACACAAAUUACUAACUUUUAUUUAUUUUCAGAAGCCAAAAUCAUGAUGAGAAUUUGCCCCUUUGAUCAUAUUAGAAAUAUUUUACAUAGAAAAUAAAUUUAUUUCCAAAGGAAUGUGAACUUCAAAAAUAUCAUGUUGUCUCCCAGAGUAACUACUUAGAAGACAAAACAUUCAUUUGAAUGUGUAGACUGUAUAAACUCAUGACAAUGGAGGCUACAUGUUUAGGAACUCCAAGUCAUCUUCCAUCUCCUCUUUUUGUCCUUUAGUAGAAAAUACUGGAAAAUAUACUUCCUAAUUCUCUAAAAGUUAAUUAAUUAAAACUUGCAAAAGGAAGAAAUUUAUAAUAAUCCCUUGAUAAGAGGUGACCAAAUUAUAAUUAUACCAGAGUGUUUAUUGUUCCUGGCAGUAGCUACCAGGCAUGCUAGUACUCAUCAAGUCAAUUAUCCACAGUUUCAGAUAAGAACAAAAAAAGAUUAGUCACUUAAUGAAGAAUAAGUUUUUGUGGCCUUAAUUUACUGGUUCCAAUUAUUUAAAGACUCCUCAAUUCUCUUUUUUCCAUUGGUACACUUAGCCACAAGAGGACUUGAAUUCAAAUAUUUUUCUUUGACUUGUUCCCAAAAGUAACAAUUGAAAAAGAAUGGAAAAGACGAGAGACAAAGUAGUAACUGAACUUCUUUCUCUAGAUUACAGUCAGUUUAUUCAGGUAGUAUAUUUCCAUCCAUGAUACUAGUCACAUUUUCUCUUUUUACUUUAUAAGAAGGAAAAAGUCCUGGCAAAGUGUUCAAGACUCUGUAAACCCAUUAUCUAAGUGAAAAACCAUCAAUGUUUUGCCAUAUUUGUUUGAUAUUUUCCCUAACCCUUAUUACAAGUUGGAAAACUUUUAAAUGAUCCUGACACAAGAAAACUUGCUACUAAUUUGGUAUGCAGUAAGUUCACUUGAAAUAUAUCUUUAAAUCUGUUGUCUGGUUUCAAAAUCUACUGUACAAAGAUAGUGGUAGGUAACAAGGCAGGUAUGCUAUGUGUAAUCAAAGGAAAACCUGAGUCUGAGAAAGACCUGUGAAAUUAUAACUAACUUCAUCAAAUUUUAUUUACAUAUCAUAAAACAUUGAUUGUAAAGAUUAGUUAAGUUUUCUAAUUCUUAGAUAAGUGUAUUUCAGUAAAUUUAAUUUUAUUAAAAAAUAUAUGUGUACUCUAAGAAAAUUUCAAAUAUCAAAAGUUUGAGUAGGUUAAUCAUUUAAUGAUUAACUGAGCAGUAAUCAUUUCAUAUUGUUUGUCAACACAUUCUAAAGAAGGAAAAUUGAGAUUUUACUAGGGAAUUAUAGCUUCAUAUGUACUUCCUUUAUUAGAGAACUGCCAUACUUUUGGGUCAGGGUGCAAAUGUAAUGGGGAGAGAAGGCCAUUCUUACAGAUUGUUCUGAAUUAGAUUAAUUACAUAAAAGUUUACAUAAAUAAUUUAGAGUGAAUUUUAACCUCCCAUUCCUUCUCUUACUUCAAUUAAAUAAGCUAUUUUAAUGCUAUUUGGUAGAAUUGCAUUCCUGUAUGUUCCUGCAGUUAGUAUGUUGAAUUUCAUAUUCUGUAAGGUACCAUGUACUCACAGUUUGAAUGCAUGUGUUUUGGACUAUGGACUCUGGAAACAAUAAAAAUAAAUAUUAGAGCAUUUUCUGUUUAGUACACACUCAUCCUCUAUAUAUUUGGAUAGCUAGAGAUUUCUACUCCUAGUCAAUACCUAAUAUAUCCUAAUCGGAAUUACCAGUUGUUCUUAUGGAAAUAAUGAUCCUUAGAUUAAAAGUUAUUGAAUGUGUAAAAUGUCACAAUAUCAUAAAUAUCCCUGUGAUGAAGCAGUGUAAUAAUAAAAAAGAAAUGAAAAAAUCAGCCAGAGAUAAAUCAUUUAAAACCAUUGAGUACAGAUGUGAUAAAUUCAUUUG